AACGAACGCUGGCGGCGCGCCUAACACAUGCAAGUCGGACGAGAAGGCGUAGCAAUACGCUUGUAGAGUGGCGAACGGGUGAGUAAUACGUGGGUGACCUACCCUCGAGUGGGGAAUAACCCGCCGAAAGGCGGGCUAAUGCCGCGUACGCUUCCGUCCUCACGGGGACGGAAGGAAAGCUGUACCGUGGGUACGGCGCUCAAGGAUGGGCUCACGUCCUAUCAGCUUGUUGGUAGGGUAACGGCCACCAAGGCUACGACGGGUAGCUGGUCUGAGAGGACGAUCAGCCACACUGGCACUGCGACACGGGCCAGACUCCUACGGGAGGCAGCAGUGAGGAAUAUUGCGCAAUGGGCGAAAGCCUGACGCAGCGACGCCGCGGUGGGGAU
rnacentral:rRNA from 1 species